GUGUGAGGUCUAGGGUGGGUUCUAAGGUUUCGGCUCUAGGUUUUGUGUGAGAGAAAAAUACAAGAGUGUCUUGUUCCAAUCUCCCAUACCACCACCUCUUCAUAAAGCUCCAUCUUUUAAUCCAAAAGAGUCUGGAUGAUCUAAAGAAAGAAACUUGAAUCAGCCAUUCAAAGCUUUCAGUGCGAGCUAGCAAUCUCGAGAAGGAUGAUCCGAUCAGGACUUCGAAUGGAUGAUCUGUAGAGGUCAAACGAGCUGUGUGGCUACUCGAUAUCA
rnacentral:lncRNA from 1 species